GUGCUCACUUCAGCAGCACACAUACCAAACUUGGAAUGAUACAGAGAAGAUUAGCAUGGCCCCACGAAAGGAUAACAGACAAACCUGUGAAGUGUUCCAUAUUUUA
ensembl:snRNA U6 U6 spliceosomal RNA